CUCAGAUAGAGAGAGAGAGAGAGAAGAGCUGGACCAUCUGAAACUUGCUCUCUCUCUCAAAACUCAUGAUCAAGGAACUGCCUGCCUCCAGAGGGAAUCUCCACCUGCCUCUGGAUGAUACUUGGAUUGGUUCUCACUGAAAGGGAGUGCCUGAAGCUGGGACUGCAUUAACUGAAAUACUACAGUGAAGAAGAGGCAGAAAAGAAGUGGAGGAAAAAGGACUGGACACACUUGUUUCACUAAGCCAACAGAGAGGACUGAUGGGAGGACUGGAGAGUUUCAGGUGGUCGCUGAGGUUGGACAGAUUGAACUUCACCCUUCUGGAAAGAAAAAUGCUGACUUUGCAGUUUUUCACUACUUCCCCUUUCCCCCACUUUCCCAGCCAAUGGCUGAUUCCUGGACAGCAAAUGGAUAUAUUUUAGAAAAGCAUUACUUGCUCCAAUAUCAUGGAUAGAUAAUAGAGGAAGUUUGGAGUAUUUUUCUCUCUAGUGUGUAUAUAUAUAUAUACUUGCACAGAAAUAAAAGUAGUUAAU